GAUGAACGCUGGCGGCGUGCCUAAUACAUGCAAGUCGAGCGAACAGACGAGGAGCUUGCUCCUCUGACGUUAGCGGCGGACGGGUGAGUAACACGUGGAUCACCUCCCUAUAAGACUGGUAUAACUUCGGGAAACCGGAGCUAAUACCGGAUAAUAUAUUGAACCGCAUUGUUCAAUAGUGAAAGACGGUUUUGCUGUCACUUAUAGCUGGAUCGGCGCCGCAUUAGCUAGUUGUUACGGUAACGGCUUACCAAGGCAAGGAGGCGUAGCCGACCUGAGAGGGUGGUCGGCCACACUGGAACGGAGACACGGUCAAGACUCCUACGGGAGGCAGCAGUAGGGAAUGGUACGCAAUGGGCGAAAGCCUGACGGAACAACGAGGCGUGAGUGAUGAAGGUCCUCGGAGCGUAAAACUCUGUUACUAGGGAAGAACAAAUGUGGAAGGAACUAUACACGGCUUGACGGUACCUAAUCAGAAAGCAACGGCUAACUACGUG
rnacentral:rRNA from 1 species